CUGAGUCUCUGUCAGAGAGGCCUUCUGGAAAUUACCACCAUCCAUCUGCCAGAACGUGGCACCCCUGGCCCGCAGACACGUCUGCCACCGCGCUUCCUGGCCGGAUGAGCCUCAGCCACUGUGAGGAACAGCCAGCACUAAGACCCCCCAGAGUCCAUGGGCAAUCCCGGAGGGAAAGCGGCCAAGGCCUGUGAAACCAGGUGCUGUGCUCUGCCAGGAAAACAGAGCCAGAGGAAGGGAACAGCAGGUCCUGCCUGGCCCUAAUGCUGCCCCUCUCCUCACGGACACCCUGAAGCCCAGGACUACUAAGCAACAAGYGGCCCUUCCAGGGAGGCUCAUCAUAUAAAAUAAAGUGGAGGUGAGGUGGCUACUGGAAAGCUCCCUGGAUUUCUGUUGGGCCUGUGCUGUGGAAAAUAAGAAAAAAGAGGCUGUCUGUUCUCACCUCACGAACCCCAGACUGUAAGGGUGCAGAUGGACGCUGAGGAUUUCCUGCUCUUGGACAGCCAGGGAGCUGAUGGACCACAUGGGUUACAAAGGCUGCAGCAUGGGCAGGGUGCAGCAACUGUUCCCACAGUCAGUACUCACCACUUUGCAGCAGAGGGGCCAGAACCACC